rnacentral:rRNA from 1 species
GACGAACGCUGGCGGCGUGCUUAACACAUGCAAGUCGAACGAUGAACCGGUUCUGGCCGGGGGUUCGUGGCGAACGGGCGAGUGACACGCGGGCAAUUCGCCCUGCACUCUGGGGUAAGCGCGGGCAACUGGGUGUAAUUCCGGAUACGACACUCCGCGGGAUAUUGGGGGGUGGUAAGAUCCGGCGGUGCAGGAUGAGCCCGCGGCCUAUUAGCUUGUUGGUGGGGUAAUGGCCUACCAAGGCGACGAUGGGUAGCUGGCCUGAGAGGGUGACCGGCCACACUGGGACUGAGACACGGCCCAGACUCCUACGGGAGGCAGCAGUGGGGAAUAUUGCACAAUGGGCGAAAGCCUGAUGCAGCGACGCCGCGUGAGGGAUGAAGGCCUUCGGGUUGUAAACCGCUUUCAGCAGGGAAGAAGCGAAAGUGACGGUACCUGCAGAAGAAGCACCGGCUAACUACGUG